rnacentral:rRNA from 1 species
UACGGAGGGGGCUAGCGUUGUUCGGAAUUACUGGGCGUAAAGCGCACGUAGGCGGCUUUGUAAGUUAGAGGUGAAAGCCCGGGGCUCAACUCCGGAAUUGCCUUUAAGACUGCAUCGCUAGAAUUGUGGAGAGGUAAGUGGAAUUCCGAGUGUAGAGGUGAAAUUCGUAGAUAUUCGGAAGAACACCAGUGGCGAAGGCGGCUCACUGGCCCGGUACUGACGCUGAGGUGGCGAAAGCGUGGGGAGCAAACAGG